rnacentral:rRNA from 1 species
ACACCGGCGGCCCGAGUGGUGGCCACUAUUAUUGGGUCUAAAGGGUCCGUAGCCGGUUUGGUCAGUCUUCCGGGAAAUCUGACGGCUCAACCGUUAGGCGUUUCGGGGGAUACUACCAGGCUUGGGACCGGGAGAGGUAAGAGGUACGUACGGGGGUAGGAGUGAAAUCUUGUAAUCCCUGUGGGACCACCAGUGGCGAAGGCGUCUUACCAGAACGGGUCCGACGGUGAGGGACGAAAGCUGGGGGCAC